UACAUCCUUGAUCUAGGGGAGCGGUACGGUCCGUGAUCGUAUAGUGAGCUCGUACUGCUGACACCCGUAUAGAUAAUACCCGUGCUCAGCGACCUACGGGCCGUUGCGGCACAAUUUUUGGACGU